rnacentral:rRNA from 1 species
AUUGAACGCUGGCGGCAUGCCUUACACAUGCAAGUCGAACGGUAACGGGCCUUCGGGUGCCGACGAGUGGCGCACGGGUGAGUAAUACAUCGGAACGUGCCCGAUCGUGGGGGAUAACGAGGCGAAAGCUUCGCUAAUACCGCAUACGAUCUACGGAUGAAAGCAGGGGACCGCAAGGCCUUGCGCGGACGGAGCGGCCGAUGGCAGAUUAGGUAGUUGGUGGGAUAAAAGCUUACCAAGCCGACGAUCUGUAGCUGGUCUGAGAGGAUGAUCAGCCACACUGGGACUGAGACACGGCCCAGACUCCUACGGGAGGCAGCAGUGGGGAAUUUUGGACAAUGGGCGCAAGCCUGAUCCAGCCAUGCCGCGUGCAGGAUGAAGGCCUUCGGGUUGUAAACUGCUUUUGUACGGAACGAAAAGCCUUCUUUUAAUACAGGAGGGUCAUGACGGUACCGUAAGAAUAAGCACCGGCUAACUACGUG